ensembl:lncRNA
GCUCCACUGAACACAGCGCGGCUUCGGCUUUUCUGUCUGCUGUUCCCAGGCGUUAUGCUAAGCUAAGCCAAUGGCCCUCAGACAUCUUAUCUAACUAUUGGCAAGAAGGGGGUAAACCGGGUCUUCACUACGGCGUCUGACAAACACUGGAUUUAUUUUUUCCCACAGCCACGGAGACUUCAAAGAGCUGAGUGGCAUCAGACUGGAAUGAUCCGGCUGGCCUCUUCCACAAAGCCGCCUUCCUCCUCAUUGAGGCCAUUUUCAACAUUCACCCACCCACACAAAGUGUUAUCAUGCCUGCCUGAC